ACGAACGCUGGCGGCAUGCUUAACACAUGCAAGUCGAACGGUAACAGGCCCUUCGGGGUGCUGACGAGUGGCGGACGGGUGAGUAACGCUUAGGAAUCUACCUAGUAGUGGGGGAUAACCCGGGGAACUCGGGCUAAUACCGCGUACGCCCUACGGGGGAAAGCGGGGGACUUUCGGGCCUCGCGCUAUUAGAUGAGCCUAAGUCCGAUUAGCUAGUUGGUAGGGUAAUGGCCUACCAAGGCGACGAUCGGUAGCUGGCUGAGAGGACGACCNGCCACACCGGAACUGAGACACGGUCCGGACUCCUACGGGAGGCAGCAGUGGGGAAUAUUGGACAA
rnacentral:rRNA from 1 species